UUUAAGGGCUAUCUUGGGGAGACAGAACGUCCUUUGGAUGAAGAUUCCUUCCUGAGAAGGAGUGUUCCACAACUUGGGAUCCUCAUCACCAGCUGCGUGACAUGGAGCCCAUAUAAGUUUCAAGAGGUUACAUGAGGACUACAGAAGGCUAAUAGCAUGGUAACAGCUGCUAGCACAGAGAUGUAAGCAAUACAAACAUCAGAUUCAUGCAGUUUGGCCAGCUUGUUGCCAAGGAUGUCAGACUCCUGAGUGAUGGAGAGAGCUUCGCCACAGUCAGCAUUGUCUCCAGCUUCCAAAGGGCUGCUCCUUAGAGUUCCCACUGCAGGCAGCUCUCAUGUAUACCUGAGUAGACUGGGGUCUGCAUGUCAGCAGUAUGCCUCAUCAGGGUCUUGAAGGAAUAACCCGUUUUGCACAAUCAUUGUCAUGAUGGGAGAAGAAAAUGUACUGACUUUUUUUUCUUUUUUU